GACGAACGCUGGCGGCGUGCCUAAUACAUGCAAGUCGAACGCUUCUUUCCUCCCGAGUGCUUGCACUCAAUUGGAAAGAGGAGUGGCGGACGGGUGAGUAACACGUGGGUAACCUACCCAUCAGAGGGGGAUAACACUUGGAAACAGGUGCUAAUACCGCAUAACAGUUUAUGCCGCAUGGCAUAAGAGUGAAAGGCGCUUUCGGGUGUCGUUGAUGGAUGGACCCGCGGUGCAUUAGCUAGUUGGUGAGGUAACGGCUCACCAAGGCCACGAUGCAUAGCCGACCUGAGAGGGUGAUCGGCCACACUGGGACUGAGACACGGCCCAGACUCCUACGGGAGGCAGCAGUAGGGAAUCUUCGGCAAUGGACGAAAGUCUGACCGAGCAACGCCGCGUGAGUGAAGAAGGUUUUCGGAUCGUAAAACUCUGUUGUUAGAGAAGAUCAAGGACGCUAGUAACUGAACGUCCCCUGACGGUAUCUAACCAGAAAGCCACGGCUAACUACGUG
rnacentral:rRNA from 1 species